rnacentral:lncRNA from 1 species
UUUAUAGAUAAACGACAUGAAACCUCCACCUUUGAAAUUUUUAAAAAUACAAGAAAUCUUCAUUUGGUGGUUUUAUUUAAUUUGUUGGACAGCCAAGGCUGUUCAUUGAACAUGCUUGCUAUUAUGAUAAAUAGUACAUUUAGUAGCAACCAAUGAGCUUGCACGUUGUCGCCAAAAUCCGAGCACAUUUAGUAGCAACCAAUGAGCUUGGACGUUGCCGCCAAAAUCCGAGCUGAACUGCAGAGUUCGAAUGAAGCCCGAGGUGAUGUAGUGAGGUCAGUUACGAGCUAGAGAGUUUGGGGAGAAGCUCUCCUCGCAUUGUUGGUCCAACCUGAAAUCAAAAAAGAAAGUCCACUUGCCAAAUUUAUCUAGUACGGGAUCCUUUGAUGUUAAAGUCAGCCUAACAUUGGUGGAACAGAGGAUAAUUGAGAGUUUUGCAACGUAUGGAAGAGUGUGAAAGCUUAAGAAUGCCUACAUAGAAAUCUCCUUAUGGCCCCAUAUUGGAAGUAGGCCUAAACUGCUCGAUAAUGAUCCCCACAUUAUACGUUAUACGUAUGGGGAAUCUUAACUACACUGAUCAUGUAGUAAUGACAGAUCCAUUUGAAAUGAGUCGUAACCACCCCUCAAUUAGCAAGAUCAUGCCUGUGCCUUUAAUGACAAUUAAUUACCUUGAAUACACUUGAAUUAGAGACACAUAGCUUAUUGCUACUAGUUGACUGGCUCGCUCUGGCUGGCUCAUCAGUUUUGAUUGGCACUUCGGUUUAUAUCGAGAUCGACAGCUCAAACGAUCUCCAAAGCUAGUGGCUCAAUUUGCUACCAAGACUGGUGGCCUGGUUAAUACUAAAGUCAUCUCUUCGGUCAAUCAUCAAGAUCAAGUUGCCAAAUGAAUACCAUAUCAGGUGCAAUGUGUCGAUAGGCUUUGGCUCACAUUACCUCUAUUUUAUCAUCUAGGAUAUGCUGAAGAUGCUAAGCAUUUAAGAGGUAAGAAAUUUUGAUAGCUAGUCUGAUAAGACAGCGUGUGGACUUGGCUUCUAUCUAAAUUAGGGCCAUCAAAUAAACAAGCCAUCCAUGAUUUGCUCAUGCUUGCCUCAGAGUCUAGCUUGUUAUGAGCUUACCUCAAAUAGCAAAUGAACAAAGCUUGAGCUAACUUUCAAUCUUAAAAUGUGAAUGAGUCAAACAUCAGCUAUGCCCUAACACACUCAUGUUCAUCUCAAAUAAACUUGAUACUAAUGUAUAAUGUAAAUGUGAAAGUACCUACGUGAACGUAAAUAAUAUAAAUAUCAACGAUACGUUUAGCAUUUAGUUAAAUACAAUAUAUUUUUUAAGCUAUAAUUUUUGAUAGAAUAGAAAGUAUAUAUUAUUGUUUAUAUACAAAUAUAAUAGAUAAAAUAUAACUUAUAGACUCCUUUAAAUACAAGUAGUACAACAACUAGCCAUAACUUCUUUUGCCCUGACAAGGAUUAGUCCCACUCUUAUCCUCUUCCUCUGUCUCUUCCUAUUUAGCUCCUAUUCUUUCCCUUACCAUCAUCUAAAGAUAAUCCUAAAUUAGAAAAAUUAGUGCCAUUGCUAGCUUCUCUAGCUUCAUGUCUUCUAUUUUUCAACCUCAUAUCAUCAAUUUAUUUCAUGAUCAUCGAUCCAUCUCAGUUAACGGCUCAUUUGUCAUUUUUCUCCCAAUUGAUAUUGCCAACCAUCUUACCUUCAUCAAUUAGUCCCUUGCCUACUGGUACCAUUCCCUCUCUUGCAACCACCUUCAAGCCCAACUGAAUUGAACUUGAGCUAGCUUGAAUGUUAAUAGGUGAGUUCUAACUUCCCUCAGUCAAUCAUAACAUGCUUCAUCUAGACCCAUUAGUUAUCAAGUAGACCUUGAGGAGACUUGAAUUUGCUCGAUAAUACGCAUUUACACCCUUAUUUAAGAUGUACUUGUUAAAGACAUAGAAUCUUGAAUAAGAACAAGGAGUUGUUUUUAAGGCUUUGAAUUUUUCUAGAUGUAUAUGUCUUGACAUAUAGAAACAUUAACUUAUAUUUCAUAUGUUAAUAGCUCAAUAAUUGGAUGGUAGGCUACUCCACUACAAUUAACAACAAUAUUCUUGACCAAAAACAUCAAUUUUAUCAUAAAAACUUUUGGUGGAAAAAAAAUCAUCCCAACAUUCAUCGGGAAAAGUGUAUUUAUAAAGGUAUAUAAUUACGAUAGAAAUAUGUCAUCAAUAAAUAUAUAUUAAUUUUGAUGAACAUAUAUUUAUCACCAAAUAGUAAAAUAUUUAGUAACAAUAGUUUCCAUCAUAAUAAAUAGAAAAUUUCAUCAUAAUAUAAUAUAUUUUUCAUCACCAUAGAUUAAUCUCUAGUGAUAUAAACAAACCUGUCACUAAAGAGGUUAUAUUUUUGUGACAAUAUUAUUCAUCACAAAAAAUAAAACAAAUUUAUCAAUAAAAGGUAAACCAUCAAUACCGGGUCUCCUGCAAAGUAUACAUGAUGUAAUAGCUUAGAUUUGGUGAUGAAAAUAAUUUGUCAUUUACUAUCAUUGUAAUUUUGUGGUGACUCAUAUUUUGUCAUAGAAUGUUGAAUUUGAUGAUGAACUAAUUUCAUCACUAAAAUAUUGGGAUGUUUGACGAUCAUAUAGUGACCAACCUUACUGAUAAGAUAUUAAAGUACCAGCAUAUAUAUAACUCUCCACUGACAAGAUAUCAAAAUAUUAGCAUAUAAUACCUUAUUUACAGGAUAUUAAAGUACCAAGAUUUAAUGCCUCACUAGCAAGAUAUCGAAAUAUAGUCUGGUUGUAAGUCAAAAUCCAUAACAAACCAAAAUACUCUUCUUAAAGGCAUAUUUCAUGUUCCAAAAUUGAAUAACUUAUAAAAUCAUGCGAUAUCAAAAUCAGUCAGACAUAAUCUAUAUCAAAUUCAUUAUAUUUGAUCAUGAAUCAUUUAAUGUUCUAGAAAAAAAAUAUAUUGAGUAAUUAAAAAUAUAAUGUAUCAAUUUCAUAAAUCAUGAUAUAAAAUAUUUACAAUUUAUUGAUAAAUUUAAAAAAAAGUAAAUCAUUAUUUACUUACAAUGUAGAACAAUCGAUAGAUCCAGUUAAUUUCAAAAAUCCCUAUCAAAGCCUAUUAACUAAAGUUAUAUUUUCAUCAAAUUUUUGCCAUGAUUAUUUUAAAAAUAAAUAUUUUGAGUUCCGCCACCCUCACGGAGCUUGAUAUCUCAGUUGAUUCGAUCUAAGAAAUCCAAUUGACCAACUAGAGAUUAAGAGUCAUGCUAGGAUUCUAGAAUGCAAUUAAUGGUCAAACUUUAUGGUGCUUGGCCUAAUAAGAGUAGAGGCUAGCAAGCUAUUUGAUAGUCAUGGGUCGAACCUCACUCACUAAGAUCAAUCAAAAUUAUUAAGAGAAGAUCUCUCUCUAAAAUCAAAAAAAAUCUUAAUAAAGAGAGAAACCAUAUGAUGAGAAAAAUAGAGAAAAGAUAGAAAAAUUUUUAGAAAGAGAAAGUAGUGGGCUCACCCAAAGAAGCACUGACCGUGAUUUCUUCUCUCUCAGCUUUCCUUGGUUUUAGGCAAAAUAGGGGACUUGCUCCCUAUUUUCCCAAAACAAGUGACCUUGCGGCCAGCAUGGAUGUGGCCAGCGAUGGUGUUGGCACAACCGGAGUUCCCAAAUCAGCGGUCGGAGCAACAAUGGCACUGAUAAGAGGAGAAAAAGAUCAAAAAAAUUGAAGAAAAUAUGGGUCCAUAUUUCUAUCUAAAUAUCUGACAAUGGCCAAACGGAAAUCAUAAUCCAACAACUAAGGAAGAUGUGGAAAAGAUUAAAAAGGUUUUUAUCUUAUUUUUGGUGGUGCUUUGGCUACGAUCCAACAGGCAUGAUGAUAGGCUUCUGACAAGAAGAAAAGAAAAGAAAGGAAUCACCAGCAACCUCCGACAAGCUUGGAUUAGCAUGGAAGGGGAAAGG